rnacentral:rRNA from 1 species
AAUAUUGGACAAUGGGCGAAAGCCUGAUCCAGCCAUGCCGCGUGAGUGAUGAAGGCCUUAGGGUUGUAAAGCUCUUUCGGCGGGGAAGAUAAUGACGGUACCCGCAGAAGAAGCCCCGGCUAACUUCGUGCCAGCAGCCGCGGUAAUACGAAGGGGGCUAGCGUUGUUCGGAAUCACUGGGCGUAAAGCGCACGUAGGCGGACAUUUAAGUCAGGGGUGAAAUCCCAGGGCUCAACCCUGGAACUGCCCUUGAUACUGGAUGUCUCGAGUCCGGGAGAGGUGAGUGGAACUCCGAGUGUAGAGGUGAAAUUCGUAGAUAUUCGGAAGAACACCAGUGGCGAAGGCGGCUCACUGGCCCGGUACUGACGCUGAGGUGCGAAAGCGUGGGGAGCAAACAG